rnacentral:rRNA from 1 species
UACGUAGGGUGCGAGCGUUGUCCGGAAUUAUUGGGCGUAAAGAGCUCGUAGGCGGCUUGUCGCGUCGGAUGUGAAAGCCCGGGGCUUAACUCCGGGUCUGCAUUCGAUACGGGCAGGCUAGAGUUCGGUAGGGGAAGAGUCGGAAUUCCUGGUGUAGCGGUGAAAUGCGCAGAUAUCAGGAGGAACACCGGUGGCGAAGGCGGAUCUCUGGGCCGAUACUGACGCUGAGGAGCGAAAGCGUGGGUAUCAAACAGG